GAAAAGACAAUGAUAAGGAAUAGUAGUAAGGAAACUUUGAUAGAGAGUGCAUGGGUGGUGGAAAUGCAUAAAGAAGAAUUAUGAACUCGCCUUUUGAGUCGCUUUACUGAACUAGGAGUAAGUAAGGUCGUAGCACCUGCGUUAAGGGUAUGAGGAGUCUAGAAAGCGAUGCUUAUUUUAGCGUGUUUUUUAGAAAACAUAGGUGGUACCACGAAUUUGAUUUUAUUUAUUCGUCCUGUGA
rnacentral:ncRNA from 1 species